rnacentral:misc_RNA from 1 species
AUGAGUUACUAAACUCCAAAACCCUUUGUGAACCUUACCGUCGUUUCCUCGGCGUGUGCUGCGGCUACCUGGAGCUUACCCUGGAAGGCACCUACCCUGUAGGUUAGGUACCUACCCUGGAGCUACCCUGUAGCCGCGUGAAGGCCCGCCGAAGGACCGCUAAACUCUUGUUUUUUACAACUGUAUCUCUGAAUACGUAACUGAAAUAAGUUA